ACUAAAUGCUUGGGGGAGUACAUUACAACAAUAAACAGACACAUUCCCUGCCCAUAACAAGCUUACAGUCUAGAGCAGGGGAGACAGACAUCAAUACAAAUAAGUUAGGGAUAUGUACAUAAGUGGUGUGGGGCUGGGAGGGGGGAAGAACCAAGGAGCAAGUCAGGGUGAUGCAGAAGGGAGUGGGAGAAGAGGAAAGGAGGGGUUUAGUCAGGGAAGGUCUAAUGGAGGAGAUUUGCCUUCAAUAAGGCUUUGAAGUGGGGGAGAAUAACUGUCUGUCAGAUUUGAGAAGGGAAGGCGUUCGGGCCAGAGGCAGGACUGGACUAGGGCUCACAGUCUCAAUCCCCAUUUUCAGAUGAGGCAACAGAGGCCCAAGAAGUGAAGCCACUUGCCCAAGGCUACACAGCAGACAAGUGGCAGAGCUGGGAUUAGAACCCAGGUCCCUCUGACUCCCCGGAUUGUGCUCUAUCCACUAGGCCAUGCUGCCUUCUGGUGCUGCUGCCCGGAAAGGGAUCGGGCCGUGGUGGAGCUCGCGGCGCGCUCAGCUUCCCAGGCUCUGUCUCCCCCAGGAUCUCGGGCUCCGGCUCCGGCUCCGGCAUCCGUGGGAGGCGUUGGCAGAGUGCUCCCCGUGGGAGCCAGACGGUGAGUAAUGGAGCGGCUGCCUUACAUAAGCGGAGAUCGGGGCUGAAGAGGACAGCCCCGGCCCUGCGCUGACAGCCGGGGCCUCUGGGCCCCCUUUGACCGUUCCCUGGAGGGGAUGCUGCCCCCCUGCCGGGCCUUGGUUUCCCCCACAGUGACCUCCAGGCAUCUCCUCUCACCUCAGAUGACCCAUCCCCGCUGGCAGCGGCGCCGAGCGCGGGAGACACAGAGACACACACACACACAGACACGAGGCCAGGAGACCCACAGGAGCCCAGAGGACCCAGGACCCCGGACACCCCGCCGCCCCCUCCCAGAUCCCCCGACCCCCGACCCUGCCGCCAGCAUGGACUGCUGCACCGUACGUACACAGACCGAUCCCCGACCCUCGGGACCCCUGCCCACCUUGGGGGCCAGCAAGAGGGUGCAGGAGGAGGAGGGGGAUGAAGAGGAGGAGGGGGAUGCAGAGGGGGAGGGGGUCGCCCCCCCCAAGGUCCGACCUCUUUCCGAUUCCAAGGACCGGCUCCGGGGCGGCUUGGGUGGGCAGAGCGUGGGUGGGCAGAGCGUGGGUGGGCAGAGCGUGGGCAGAGCGUGGGCCCGAGGCUGGGGAGGCGGAAUGGCUGCAGCAUGA
rnacentral:lncRNA from 1 species